UACGAAGGGGGCUAGCGUUGCUCGGAAUUACUGGGCGUAAAGCGCACGUAGGCGGUCUUUAAGUCGGGGUGAAAUCCUGGAGCUCAACUCCAGAACUGCCUUCGAUACUGGAAGACUUGAGUCCGGGAGAGGUGAGUGGAACUGCGAGUGUAGAGGUGAAAUUCGUAGAUAUUCGCAAGAACACCAGUGGCGAAGGCGGCUCACUGGCCCGGUACUGACGCUGAGGUGCGAAAGCGUGGGAGCAACAGGG
rnacentral:rRNA from 1 species